rnacentral:misc_RNA from 1 species
UCCAAUACCAAGUUCUCUUGCUGGAUUUGCGUUCUUGAGAUUCUUAAACUUAACUGGAAACAAGUUCUGGGGUUCAAUUCCUCUUGGACUUGCUGAAAAGGCGAAUAAUGAAACCUUGUUGCUCAGCAUGGAUGGAUUCGUACCCCUCAUUAAGAAUCAGUGUCAAUCAGCUCAAUGUACAAAAAAGAAGCUUUCUAUUCCAGUAGUUGCAUCAGUAGCUGUACUGUUG